rnacentral:lncRNA from 10 species
CUUUCUCUAAGGGCUGUCGGGAGGAAGAGUGGACUCAUGGGCUAUGCCUGGCACACAGGGCCUGCUCUUUCCAGGCAGGCCGUUAUUCUCAUUCCACAGUUAACAACUGUCUUGGUCAAAUCACCUGUGUGGUGAUAUCUGGAAGCCUUUCCAUGUUACCGCAGCGUGGGAGGAAAGUAGCCUGGCAGGGCCCCAGAGAGCAAAGGCACUGAUGCCCAGUGUGCGCCUGAGACACAGGGGCUGAGAGCCCCAGCCGCUGGCCCCUCCCUCCAGGGCUGCAGCUGGGCUGAGCCUCCAGGAGGGGGGUGCUGUGGUGACUGGGCCCAGAACAGAGCUGGGAAUUAGGAAUGUGGGUCCCAGUCCUGGCUCAGCCACCAGCUGUCUGAGUUACUUUGGGCAGGUUGGUAGCCCUCUCUGGGCCAAGGCACUCUCCACUGUAGCAGGAGGGGUGUUCGUGGUGCAACUUAGGAAGGGUUCAGCCG